rnacentral:misc_RNA from 1 species
GUUCGAGAUUCAACGAUUAGCAAACAAAAAUUUUUAUUUUUUUCAUUUUGAGGAAACCUUUCUCUCAUAGGAAAAAAAAAGAGGGGGAAAGAUGAGGCUAAAAAAGAGUUGCGUUUUUAGGUUUUGAGGGAUAUAUUGUUUGGGAAUUUAGAAAUUCUUACCUUGUGAUUUUUCUACCCAAAAUUUCUUAUUUAAUUUCAAUUCAUUUUAUCCUUUUUUCUUCUAAUAUGUAAAGAGAAAUAAUAUUGCUUUUGCUAUCUUUGUAGAGCACUGGGUUAAUUUGCAAUUAAAGUUAAUUUUUGUGAAAAAAUUGAAUUUUGAGCUUAAUUGAAUAUUGGCCCAAAAUUUUAGUUGCCAAUUUGACCUAUAACUUCUAUGCAAAAUGCCACUGUUUGUUGGUUCUUAGGGAUCAAGUGAAUUGCACUUUUUUUUUUUAAAUCAACAAGUUAGACACAUGUUUGCAUUCUGCCUUAAUAUCAUGUCAACAUGGAUGCACACCCUGGACCUAAUUUGAUCUUUAUUUCUUCACAAAAGGCGCCACUGUUU